UACAGAGGGGGCCAGCGUUAGUUCGGAAUUAUUGGGCGUAAAGAGCUCGUAGGCGGUCUGUCGCGUCGGCUGUGAAAACUCGGGGCUCAACCCCGAGCCUGCAGCCGAUACGGGCAGACUAGAGUUCGGCAGGGGAGACUGGAAUUCCGUGGUGUAGCGGUGAAAUGCGCAGAUAUCAGGAGGAACACCGGUGGCGAAGGCGGGUCUCUGGGCCGAUACUGACGCUGAGGAGCGAAAGCGUGGGGAGCGAACAGG
rnacentral:rRNA from 1 species